ensembl:snRNA U1 U1 spliceosomal RNA
AUACUUACCUGGCAGGGGAGAUACCAUGAUCACGAAGGUGGUUUUCCCAGGGCUAGGAUUAUCCAUUGCACUCCAGAUGUGCUGACCCCUGCAAUUUCCCCAAAUGUGGGAAACUCGACUGCAUAAUUUGUGGUAGUGAGGGACUGCAUUUGCGCUUUCCCCUG